GCCGCAUUGUCUGCAGAAUGGCAAUUGGCUUUACAUUGGGAUAAUUGCGGCGUCAUCACUACAUUUGAUCAAAAUAGAAAACCUGGCUCGUCCCCUCACCAUUGAAGGACAACGCAGUCCUGAGAAGCGGCAAAAGAAAAGACCGAACCGGCUCUCUGCCUUCCAUAGCUGCGCUUUCGAGCCCAUGUUUUUACCGAGGUCGGGAUCUUGGGGACGCGUUGAAUGGAUUAAGCAAAUUGCGUAGUGUAAUGGGUGCUCUAGUUUUCAUCGAUCUGCGAGCUCCUCAGGUGUCAAUGGGCUUUCUUCUUCAACAUCUUGGUUCCUAUUGCUGUGGUUCUUCGCAUAAAGCCCUCGCAUAUAGCGGUGGAUUUAAGCACAGCGGCAGAAGCAGCAUGCUCGCAAGGACCAGAAACAACAACGAGAAUGCUGCAUCCUCUCCUCCAGACUUCUGUAACAAUAGAGCUCCAACUACCCAAUCUAAUUCAUUUCCCACUGCGGAUGCCAUGAAUUCUUUCCCUAAAGACGGUGAAGAAAUUUCACGUGAAUCGUACAACAAUUUGGUUCGUUCCUAUUGCGAAGCCGGCGAGCUGGACUCCUCAAUGAAAACGGUAGCACUUAUGGAGGCUUCAGGAAAGCAACCAAGUAAUUCUAGCUACAAUUAUCUAAUUGGGGCACUAGGCAGCGUUGGUAGAACACUGGAAGCAGAUGCCAUCUUUCAGGAGAUGAAGCUGUGGGGGGUGCAACCCAGUGUGACGACCUACAAUCUUCUUCUACGUGGGUUGUUGAGGAAAGGGCUGCUUCAGUUAGCAGAUUGUUUGCUCUUGGAAAUGCAGGAAAGGGGAAUCAGGCGCAACUGGGAGACUUACAAGGUGCUACUUGAGGCCUAUGCUCAUGCGGGACGGUUGGCAGAUUGUUGGGAGUUACUGGUCGAGAUGAAGAAGAAGGGAUUCAAGGUGAAAUCUUCAUAUGUAUAUAGCAAACUUGUUGGCCUAUAUAGAGAUAAUGGGAUGUGGAACAAGGCUAUGAGUCUUAUCAGAGAGAUUCAGGAAAAUGGGGUUUUGCUGGAUAGAAGGAUGUAUAAUUGUGUCAUUGACACGUUUGGGAAGUUUGCAAUGGUGGAUGAAGCUGCAGAGACUUUUACGAAGAUGCGUUUGGAAGGGAUCGUGCCAGAUGUCAUGGCCUGGAACUGUUUGAUCAGGUCGUAUUGCAAGGCGGGGAAGCUGGAUAAAGCAUUGGAGUACUUUACGGCAAUGCUCGAAGCAGGGAUGUAUCCUGACCCCAAGAUAUUUAUCGAUAUAAUUAGUGGUUUGGGAGAACAAGGCCAAUGGGAUUGGAUAAGGAAGAAUUUUGAGAAUUUAAAGAAUAAAGGGUUUAGAAAGAGCGGGAUCCUGUAUGCGGUUUUGGUUGACAUUUAUGGACAGUAUGGUAACUUUGAGAGUGCUGAUGACUGUGUGGCAGCCAUGAAAGCAGAGGGUCUGCAACCUUCUCCCAGUGUGUUCUGCGUCCUCGCAAAUGCUUAUGCUCAACAGGGAAUGUGUGAGCAAACAGUCAGAGUUCUUCAACUCAUGGAAGCUGAAGGAAUUGAACCAAACCUUGUCAUGCUCAAUUUGUUGAUCAAUGCAUUUGGUAUUGCUGGGAGGUACUCAGAAGCAAUGGCAGUUCUUGAACACAUAAAAGCAAUUGGAAUCAGUCCUGACGUGGUUACAUACACUACAGUCAUGAAAGCCUUAAUUAGGGGAAGAAAAUUUGAUCAGGUCCCAGGAAUAUAUGAGGAAAUGGAGUCCAAUGGUUGCACCCCAGACAGAAAAGCAAGGCAGAUGCUGCAGACGGCUUUGUUAAUAUCAGAACGAAGGCAUGCUGGAUCUUUGGCAGAUCGCUGAAAUUGAGGUAUUCAUCCUAAUGAUUCUAGUGUCUGAAGGUCAAUGCAUGCUCGUAAUCAUGGGUUCUUCAACUGUUUAAUUAUGAGUAAAACUUCAAGGUGGUUGAUUCAGAAAUGGUACUGAGAUAUUGAACUGAAUGGCUGUGCACUGUGCAGACAUCAAAGUGAAGAAGUUGCAACAAGUUCAAGGCAGUCUCAGGUUCAUGCCAUCUCACUAUUUUCAUCACAUUGUAUCUUUGACGAGAGCACUUCAUGGGCAGAAUUGUGAAAAAUAAGGAGCUGCUUUUAUUUAUUCCAUUAAAUGGAAUAUCAUCUCAUCAGGUCUGUAGUGUGUAGUUAUCCAGCCUUCACUGAUAUACCACAGUUCUUCCCUUUCGGGUGAGUCCUUCACUGUUGCUGUAGAUUGCAAAAGCAAUCGGUUUUCACUUUCAAGAUGGAGAUCAUUGGAGGAUCGGACAAUUCAGGCACAAUGUCCAAUCCAUCCUUAGCAUA